GCGAACGGGUGGAAGAUUGCAUCACGAUCUACGCAGAGACGUACGAAGCCGUAGCCUAGUUAGGGCAAAGAUCUAGCGCCCUUGGGUUAGGAAGACCAGGGCUGAACCAUUUGGGUGGCUGGAAGAGGGGAAAAGAUAGCGAAAGGGGUAAAGGGAAGCCAGGGAGAGAGGAUGAUGUUUGGCUAUACUGUUGGGAGGAGGGCGAGCUAGACUAGAGAUUGAGAUUUAAGGGAGACUCGAAACUACCUCAAACCUGGGACAGUUCUCUCACAGAGGUCCGCCCAGUGGUUUGGUCCGUCCUGGACUGCCAGACUCGCCAGAGCUCCGUCGGUCGCGGCCUCUCUGCUUGGCUUCUGGCGCCACCUCCUCCCUCCCAGCCCACCGUGGGCUGCGGUGCUGCUGUGGGUGGGGGAAGGCAGGACUGACGCGGACCUCGCGGGGGCGGCUCCGGGUCCGCGCCUCGGUCCCAGAUUACUUGCCCAGGGAUGUGGCGGGAGAGCCAGGAAGGGGAGGAAGAGGCCUGGUUUGGAUACGCUGGGACACCGGAUUGCCGCUCCUCUGAGACUAUACUGAAUCCUUUGGAUCCCCGUCUGAUGACAACAGCAACAAGACAAGAAGUUCUUGCCCUCUACCGCCGAAUUUUCAGGCUUGUGAGGAAAUGGCAGGCAGCAUCAGGGCAGAUGGAAGACACCAUUAAAGAAAAACAAUACAUAUUAAAUGAAGCCAGGAUGCUGUUCCAGAAAAACAAAAACCUUACAGACACAGACCUGAUUAAGCAGUGUAUAGAUGAAUGCACAGCCAGGAUUGAAAUUGGACUACAUUACCAGAUUCCUUAUCCAAGGCCAAUUCAUCUGCCUCCAAUGGGGCUUACCCCACUACGAGGCCGGCGACUUCAAAGCCAAGAAAAACUGAGGAAACUUUCCAAACCAGUAUAUCUCAAGUCUCAUGAUGAGGUUUCUUAAUCCAGAAGAAAGUUUAUUUCUCAGAAUAAUGAGCCAACUAGGUCUUGAAUGUAAACCAGACGACAAAAUCUUUCUCCUUGAUUGGGGCAAAAAUUCAAAUUAUCUUCUUAAAAACCUCCAAAAUAUUGGUACUUACCACAUGAUGUGUAGCAUCAUGCCUGAGUGGACAACACUAAUCCUUGAAGUCAUGGGCCUUACAGCCUCCUUGAAAGCAUCAUUUGGAAGCCUAUGGGAGGAAGACUGAAGAAUGACAGGGCUUCUCAUGGAAAUGCCAUCGCCAGACAUGUCAGCUGAUGGAAAGAAGUUACCUACUUGCAGGAAGUUCUGAUGACUGCCAUGAAACAAUAUACCUCCCUCACAAUAUUUGGCCUGUGAACUCAACUACUUCAUCUUCAGAUCCAAUGAAAUGCUGAUCUAUUCUUGCAGUGGAAGAAAAACUAACUGCUGGACCAGGUGACAUGUGGCUUACCUGUCUCCAUCAGUAAUUCAAGGAUUCUCUUCCAGUGGCCCUUAGAAGAAACAAUGACAAACUAAAAAUUUCUUGGACAUGGUUGAAGCUAAUCUCUUUCAAGAUUCUGCAUCACAACUUGCCAAGUCCUCAGCAGGGAGGCAGCAUGUGACCUUGAAAAAUGAACAGAGUUUGACAGCCCCACAGACCUCAGCUCCAAACCUGUCUCUGCAGUGUUGAUAUUGCUGGGUAAUC